rnacentral:lncRNA from 1 species
GUUGUACAUUUCCCGUUUUUCCCUAUUAACAGGUAUCCACUAUACAUUUGACUAUUUUAUAUUUGAAUAUUGACAUCACUCAGCAUAUUUGACCACAAAGAACACUAAAAUUUAUAUAAGGAAUUCAGCUAAACAAAAUGAGAAAGGGUAUAUCCAUUAUAAUAUGAAUAUCAGAGUACAGUAAACUGAACUAAUAAAAAUGUCCCCAGUUAUCUUUUACAUUGUGCGUAACCAUAUGAUCUUCAAGUUCACUGAGAAUGCCAAACCCAAGACCACAGAGAGAACAGACAAAUCCAGUCACUUCGUCUGACUCUGUUUCUUGGCAUUCAGCACAUUGAGAAGUUGCAUUAUCAUCUUGGUUGAGUUGAGUAAAUUUCCUCUUGCAAAUAUCACAUUCAUACUUCAGUGUGUCGGUGAUAUGUAUUCUCUUUUUAUGUUUUUCCAAGCUUAUUACUUUGAAAAAUCUUUUCUUACAAACAUCACAUUCAUAAGGUUUAUUUUCAGCAUGGGUUUUUUUAUGCCGUGCUAAAUUGCUUGACCUAGCAAACCUAUUCUUGCAGACAUUGCAUUCAUAAGGUUUGUCUCCAGUGUGUAUUCUUUUAUGUUCUUCUAAAGCACUUGAUACUAAGAAUCUCUUCUUACAAACAUCACAUUCAUAAGGCUUUUCUCCAUUAUGCCUUCUUUUAUGUUUCACCAAAUCAGAGGCAUAAAAAAAUCUCUUCUUACAAACAUCACAUUCACAAUGUUUUUCUUCUGGUCUACUAUGCAGUCUCUUUUCAUGUCUUUCCAAGCCUAUCACUUCAAAAAACCUUUUCUUACAAACGUCACAUUCAUGAGGUCUGUCACCUGUUCUGUGUAUACUAUGCAUUCUUCUUUUAUGUCCUUCUAAUGUUUUCAGUUUGAAAAACGUUUUCUUACAAACAUCACAUUUGUGAGGUUUAUUUUCAGCAUGAGUUCUUUUAUGCCUUGCUAAUUUCCUUGUGCUAGCAAACCUUUCCUUGCAGUCACCGCAUUCAUAAGGUUUCUCUCCAGUAUGUGUUCUUUUAUGUUCUGCCAAAGCGCUUGAUAUUAAAAAUCUCUUCUUGCAAACAUCACAUUCAUAAGGCUUUUCUCCAGUAUGCCUUCUUUUAUGUAUCACCAAAGAAAAGGCAUAAGAAAAUCUCUUCUUACAAACAUCACAUUCAUAAGGCUUGUCUCCAGUGUGUGUUCGUUUAUGUUUUACUACAGUAUCAGGUGCUGUAAAUCUUUUCUUGCAAAUAUCACAUUCAUAAGGUUUUUCUCCAGUAUGUGUUCUUUUAUGUCUUUUUAAGUCAUUUGAUUGUAUAAACCGUUUGUUGCAAACAUCACAUUCAUGAGGUUUUUCUCCAGUGUGUGUUCGUUUAUGUCUAGCAAGAUGGUCUGAACCUGCAAAUGUCGUGUUGCAAAUGUCACAUUCAUAAGGUUUUUCUCCGGUAUGGAUUCUCUUAUGUUUCACCAAACUGCUGGAAAAUGCAAAUGCUUUCCUGCACACAUCACAUUCAUAAGGUUUCUCUCCAGUAUGUGUUCUUUUAUGUUUUAUUAAAUAAUUAGAGUCUACAAACUUUUUCUUGCAAAUAUCACAUUCAUAUAAAGGUUUGCGACGUUUGUCUCCAGUGUCUGUGUGUGUUCUCUUGUGCUUUGUUAAAUAACUUGAGUCGGCAUAUCUCUUCUUACAAACAUCACAUUCAUAAGGUUUUUCACCAGUGUGUGUUCUCUUAUGUCGUUUUAAGUCGUUUGAUUUCCAAAAUCCUUUCUUGCAAACGUCACAUUCAUGAGGUUUGUGUUUGUUAUGUGUUCCUGUCAUAUCAUUUGCUAUAUUUGACGACUUUUCCAUUGAAAAUCCCUUGUUAUAAAUUCACAAUCGAAUAUAUACCACUCAAGCUGACAAAAAUAAUAAACGUUAACGAUUUUAAGACUCUUUUAAGUUUCGUUUUUAAUAAUACAGUUUCAGAUAUGUAGAAUUGCACACCGCGGCCG